AAGACUCGGAUAGCCCUUAGCGUAAUUUGUAGAUUCACGCACUAGUGUUUUGUUGUGUAAUUAGACGACGACUGAACUGCUGCAGUCGCACAUUGGGGAUGAAUGAAUCUAUAGGAAACUGUACCGAUCCCUUGGAAAUAUGACUGAAAUAAGAAUGAUGGAAUGGAAUCUGAAAUACAGGCUGUGGAGGUGAGGGGUCACACAGAGGGACUUUGACUCUGUGGUGUUUGCUCUGCGUUCGAACCCCUCACGCCUGAGCAGAGUUUGAGUUUGAAUGAGCUGCAGGAUUCAGGGGGAGAAGCUGCUCUCCGCUUUGCAAGAUCACCCACGCUGAACCGCAGAUGAGGUUAGCAGCGAAUUUGUGCUUCUGUCUCCAUGGACACCAGAAACUGCUCUUUGAUUCCUGUCAGUUCAGCUGAUGAAGGUCUGGAUUGGGCACUUCAGCACUCUGCUGGACCAACAAGCUUUUCUGGAUGAGCUCCCUGAGCAGCCCAGCUCAGAAGACGUAGAUCGCCCUCUCCAACCUUCUCAGGAAUCAUCUCCGCAGUCAAAUCCCUGAAAGACUUCAAAGCACCUGGACCUGAUAAUACUCCAGCUGACAUCCUCAGCAGUGGGGGUUUCCUCUGCCUGGGGGCGCUCUGUCUCCACAUCCUGCAGGUGUGGAGAUGAGAGCGCGCCCCAGCGAUGGAGAGAUGCCAGCCUAGUUACGAUCUAUACGAAUAAAGGAGACAAAUCAAUCUUU